CCUACGGGUGGCAGCAGUCGAGAAUCAUUCACAAUGGGGGAAACCCUGAUGGUGCGACGCCGCGUGAGGGAAUGAAGUUCUUCGGAUUGUAAACCCCUGUCAUGUGGGAGCAAAUGCAGAAGAUAGUACCACAAGAGGAAGAGACGGCUAACUCUGUGCCAGCAGCCGCGGUAAGACAGAGGUUUCAAGCGUUGUUCGGAAGCACUGGGCGUAAAGGGUGCGUAGGCUGUUUCGUAAGUCGUGUGUGAAAGGCGCGGGCUCAACCCGCGGACGGCACAUGAUACUGGGAGACUAGAGUAAUGGAGAGGGAAGCGGAAUUCUCGGUGUAGCAGUGAAAUGCGUAGAUAUCGAGCGGAACACUCGUGGCGAAGGCGGGUUCCUGGACAUUAACUGACGCUGAGGCACGAAGGCCAGGGGAGCGAAAGGGAUUAGAUACCCUGGUAGUC
rnacentral:rRNA from 1 species